UUAUAUUUCAAUGCAGUAAACAUUUUUUGGAUUUUCAAUUCAACUACAUUUUUCUUACUGUUUCAUCUUAAGAUUUGAUUUCAUUUGAAGUAGGAGUGUAGUUAGGUAAUUAGCAUAGGAUUUGCAAAUUCAGGUAGUCAUGGAGUGGUUGAGGAAAUAAUUGUGACCGAUGUUCGAUUCCCACUCUCCUCGUUAUUUUCUGCGGCAUACGCGUGGCGCCGGUUCGACUUGGAUGGGAGGCGAGGUUUUACCGAUUAUUUCACUGUCGUGUCUUCGGGGGCCGGUGGAGGUCGGGUUUUUGCCUGGGGAGAGCCAAGGGGCUGCCGGCGGUCUAGUAGUCGACCUUGGUCACGGUGGUUGGCACGUCGUUCCUUGCUGUUCAAAAAAAAAAAAAAAAAAAA